AGUGAACGCUGGCGGUAGGCCUAACACAUGCAAGUCGAACGGCAGCACAGUAAGAGCUUGCUCUUACGGGUGGCGAGUGGCGGACGGGUGAGGAAUACAUCGGAAUCUACUUUUUCGUGGGGGAUAACGUAGGGAAACUUACGCUAAUACAGCAUACGACCUACGGGUGAAAGCAGGGGAUCUUCGGACCUUGCGCGAUUGCAUGAGCCGAUGUCGGAUUAGCUAGUUGGCGGGGUAAAGGCCCACCAAGCCGACGAUCCGUAGCUGGUCUGAGAGGAUGAUCAGCCAAACUGGAACUAAGACACGGUCCAGACUCCUACGGGAGGAAGCAGUGGGGAAUAUUGGAAAAUGGGCGCAGGCCUGAUCCAGCAAGACCGCGUGGGUGAAGAAGGCCUUCGGGUGGUAAAGCCCUUUUGUUGGGAAAGAAAAGCAGCAGGUUAAUACCCCGCUGUUCUGACGGUACCCAAAGAAUAAGCACCGGCUAACUUCGUG
rnacentral:rRNA from 1 species